CGGGGCUUAAAGUCUUGUAAUUGGAAUGAUGGGAAUUUAAACCUCUUCCAGAGUAUCAAUUGGAGGGCAAGUCUGGUGCCAGCAGCCGCGGUAAUUCCAGCUCCAAUAGCGUAUAUUAAAAUUGUUGCAGUUAAAAAGCUCGUAGUUGAAUUUCUGCUGCAUUGCUUGUGUCCCUCUGGGGUCUGUGCAUGUGGCUUUUUUCGGACGGAGUUUCUUUGUCUGAAUGUUUACUUUGAAAAAAUUAGAGUGCUCAAAGCAGGCUUUCGCCUUGAAUAGUUUAGCAUGGAAUAAUAAAGUAGGACUUUGGUUCUAUUUUGUUGGUUUUAGGUACCAAAGUAAUGGUUAAUAGGAACAGUUGGGGGCAUUCGUAUUUAACUGUCAGAGGUGAAAUUCUUAGAUUUGUUAAAGACGAACUACUGCGAAAGCAUUUGCCAAGGAUGUUUUCAUUAAUCAAGAAC
rnacentral:rRNA from 1 species